ensembl:lncRNA
UGGGAGCGGGGCGCGCGCUGAGGCGCGGCCGCUGAGGGGGCCCGUGAGGGGACGGCGAUGGCGCCGUGCGGUCCCGGGGCGGCGGCCGCUCCGCCUCGGCUCUCUGCUGAAGUGUGGGGUCUCUCUUCUCGCUCCCUGUUUUCAAAGUAAUUUUAUUUGAGCAAAAUCGAGGAAAAUUAAGAGCGAGCAAAAUGGUGGUCGAGUUAAGGGCAGAAAUACAGCAGGCUAGUGCCGUGGGGUACGAUGGCUGAAGGCAGCGCAGUAGUUUUGGGCUAAGUUUUCUUUCCUAAUCCUCUCCAGGAUGUCACUAUGAACAGCUAGAAUGUGCAGUAAGGGUUUCCAUUAUUACUUAGUUUCACGUAUCUGUUCAGAGGAAGGACAAGAUCCUUUGCAAGAACAGAUCAUUGCAAUGUUGUGGCACAAUUUAAGGACUGUCAGAUGUUACCUGGCAUCAAGAAAAACUCUGAACAGCUCGUGCCAUAAAAGGAUCGUACAGAUAGUGAAAUCGUUGAGAUGUUUUUCAUUAUGUCUGAGUAACAAUUUUAAUAAUCAAAGUUCUUAAAAAGGAUUUUACAAAUCCAAAGUAAUUCUGAUCAGCCGGAUUAAAAUGCAUCACGGGAAUAGGUUCUGAUUUGUUGAUCUUCAAAAUCCAUAAAAGAAAAAUUGCUACUUUAAAAAGUAUUUUCUGGAAAGGAUUCUUUUUUUUCCUGCAAUAUUUUAGAGCUGAUUAUUUACUUCACAGGUGAUUUACGUGACUUAGAUUAGACUUCCAGUAACUACAUACUUGUAAAAGUUCACCUGAUUUCCAGAGGAAGAACAUGAACUUUUCUCAGCAUAGAAAGAGCAGGACCAAAUCAGAGACUUGUCCCUCAGUGUUACCUCUGCUUUUGGUUCUUGUAGAAUUUAACUUGGAGGAUGAGAUCCAGCCUAAUGCAUUUGGUUCCCCCAGUGAGCAGAGAAAGAAGAAUCUCCCAGUUUCCCAAGGUAAGAAUUUUUUAUCCCUUUGGUCACAGCAUGUAGCCUCUGCCACACUGAGCUAUCUUUCCAUUGUGCUAAUAUGGUAUUUUAAACUGAUUUAAUGUAUACUUGUUGUCUUCUGUCAAAAUUACAAAUUAUUUAUGAUUCUUUCAAAGUUUAAUGUAACCUCAUAGACCCAUUCAAUGGUGAUCUCUUUAAUAAUAAUCCUCAUUCUUCUUUCUAACCUUUACAGAAAGUGACUUGUUACAGAAGUGUUAUAAUAUUUAUCCUGUUUUUUCAGCAAAACAGUAAUAAUUACAUGCUUAAAGCACUUCAACACCGAGGGAAAAGAGGAACCAUAGCUGACACUAAAUUUGCCAAAAAAUCUAAUUAGGAGGCUUUGGUUAAAGAAUUUGAGGCAAUUUUAAUUUUCUGUUUGUACAACAACCUUAGUCAUACAGUAGAUCAAAUGUAGUAGGCACUGUAGAAACACAGACAAAAUACCUUUGAUGUCCCCAAAGACUUUUGUAUUUGAAGUAUAAUGGAACAGUUAAGGACAGGGAAGGGCAAGGAAUUAAUGCUUAUUUUUUUCAGUUGUUCAAAAGAUCCUUUUAAGGGAGUUCACUUUUU